AUUGAACGCUGGCGGCAGGCCUAACACAUGCAAGUCGAGCGGAUGAGUGGAGCUUGCUCCAUGAUUCAGCGGCGGACGGGUGAGUAAUGCCUAGGAAUCUGCCUGGUAGUGGGGGACAACGUUUCGAAAGGAACGCUAAUACCGCAUACGUCCUACGGGAGAAAGUGGGGGAUCUUCGGACCUCACGCUAUCAGAUGAGCCUAGGUCGGAUUAGCUAGUUGGUGAGGUAAAGGCUCACCAAGGCGACGAUCCGUAACUGGUCUGAGAGGAUGGUCAGUCAGACUGGAACUGAGACCGGGUCCAGACGCCUACGGGAGGCAGCAGUGGGGAAUAUUGGACAAUGGGCGAAAGCCUGAUCCAGCCAUGCCGCGUGUGUGAAGAAGGUCUUCGGAUUGUAAAGCACUUUAAGUUGGGAGGAAGGGCAGUAAGUUGAUACCUUGCUGUUUUGACGUUACCGACAGAAUAAGCACCGGCUAACUCUGUGCCAGCCGCCGCAGUAAUAC
rnacentral:rRNA from 1 species